rnacentral:rRNA from 1 species
AUUGAACGCUGGCGGCAGGCCUAACACAUGCAAGUCGAGCGGAAGGAGGAAGAGGUUUCCUUCCUUGUUGUCGCGGCGGGGGGGGGAGUGAAAUGUCUGUAACAUAGCUUUAUGGAUGGGGUAAAUUACGGGAACCGGAAGCUAAACCCGCAAAACGUUGGAAAAGCAUGGAUCAGGAGUUUAAGACCGUUUUGCUGUGACUGUUCCCAGAUGCCUGGUUGGAUUAGCUAGGGGGUAGGGUAACGGCUUACCAAGGCCACGAUCCGUAGCUGGCCUGAGAGGAUGACCAGCCACACUGGAACUGAGACACGGUCCAGACUCCUACGGGAGGCAGCAGUGGGGAAUCUUGCGCAAUGGGCGAAAGCCUGACGCAGCCAUGCCGCGUGUGUGAAGAAGGUCUUCGGAUCGUAAAGCUCUGUUAGUAGGGAGGAAGGGAUGUAAGAUAAUACCUGCACAUAUUGACGUUACCCACAGAAAAAGCACCGGCUAACUCCGUG